rnacentral:miRNA from 1 species
UGUCCAGUCCCGUAAAUUGCAG